AUUCACCAUAGCAUGGUGAUGGAAGAUCCAGAAUGAGUUUUUCAGUUUUAAGUGCAAGCAAUAGGAAAAGCACUGAGAGGGAUGCUCACCUAUUUCAAGACCCAAAAUGCAAGGAAUUGAUACAAAUGAUGACCAUAUGCUGCUAGAAAAUGCAGAAUGAUUAUUCUAGCUUGAAGUGCAAGCAAUAGGAAAAGCACUGAGAGGGAUGCUCACCUAUUUCAAGACCCAAAAUGCAAGGAAUUGAUACAAAUGAUGACCAUAUGCUGCUAGAAAAUGCAGAAUGAUUAUUCUAGCUUGAAGUGCAAGCAAUAGGAAAAGCACUGAGAGGGAUGCUCACCUAUUUCAAGACCCAAAAUGCAAGGAAUUGAUACAAAUGAUGACCAUAUGCUGCUAGAAAAUGCAGAAUGAUUAUUCUAGCUUGAAGUGCAAGCAAUAGGAAAAGCACUGAGAGGAUGCUCACCUAUUUCAAGACCCAAAAUGCAAGGAAUUGAUACAAAUGAUGACCAUAUGCUGCUAGAAAAUGCAGAAUGAUUAUUCUAGCUUGAAGUGCAAGCAAUAGGAAAAGCACUGAGAGGGAUGCUCACCUAUUUCAAGACCCAAAAUGCAAGGAAUUGAUACAAAUGAUGACCAUAUGCUGCUAGAAAAUGCAGAAUGAUUAUUCUAGCUUGAAGUGCAAGCAAUAGGAAAAGCACUGAGAGGGAUGCUCACCUAUUUCAAGACCCAAAAUGCAAGGAAUUGAUACAAA